AACGAACGCUGGCGGCAUGCCUAACACAUGCAAGUCGAACGAGACCUUCGGGUCUAGUGGCGCACGGGUGCGUAACGCGUGGGAACCUGCCCUUAGGUUCGGAAUAACUCCCCGAAAGGGGUGCUAAUACCGGAUAAUGUCUUCGGACCAAAGAUUUAUCGCCUUUGGAUGGGCCCGCGUUGGAUUAGCUAGUUGGUAGGGUAAAAGCCUACCAAGGCGAGGAUCGAUAGCUGGUCUGUGAGGAUGAUCAGCCACACUGGGACUGAGACACGGCCCAGACUCCUACGGGAGGCAGCAGUGGGGAAUAUUGGACAAUGGGCGAAAGCCUGAUCCAGCAAUGCCGCGUGAGUGAUGAAGGCCUUAGGGUUGUAAAGCUCUUUUACCCGGGAUGAUAAUGACGGUACCGGGAGAAUAAGCCCCGGCUAACUCCGUG
rnacentral:rRNA from 1 species